GGCAGGCUAACACAUGCAAGUCGAGCGGUAGAGAGAAGCUUGCUUCUCUUGAGAGCGGCGGACGGGUGAGUAAUGCCUAGGAAUCUGCCUGGUAGUGGGGGAUAACGUUCGGAAACGGACGCUAAUACCGCAUACGUCCUACGGGGGAAAGCAGGGGACCUUCGGGCCUUGCGCUAUCAGAUGAGCCUAGGUCGGAUUAGCUAGUUGGUGGGGUAAUGGCUCACCAAGGCGACGAUCCGUAACUGGUCUGAGAGGAUGAUCAGUCACACUGGAACUGAGACACGGUCCAGACUCCUACGGGAGGCAGCAGUGGGGAAUAUUGGACAAUGGGCGAAAGCUGAUCCAGCCAUGCCGCGUGUGUGAAGAAGGUCUUCGGAUUGUAAAGCACUUUAAGUUGGGAGGAAGGGUUGUAGAUUAAUACUCUGCAAUUUUGACGUUACCGACAGAAUAAGCACCGGCUAACUCUGU
rnacentral:rRNA from 1 species